rnacentral:rRNA from 1 species
GAUGAACGCUAGCUACAGGCUUAACACAUGCAAGUCGAGGGGCAGCGGGUAUUGAAGCUUGCUUCAAUUGCCGGCGAACCGGCGCACGGGUGAGUAACGCGUAUCCAACCUUCCGUACACUCAGGGAUAGCCUUUCGAAAGAAAGAUUAAUACCUGAUGGUAUCUUAAGCACACAUGUAAUUAAGAUUAAAGAGUUUAUCGGUGUACGAUGGGGAUGCGUUCCAUUAGGUAGUAGGCGGGGUAACGGCCCACCUAGCCAACGAUGGAUAGGGGUUCUGAGAGGAAGGUCCCCCCANAUUGGAACUGAGACACGGUCCAAACUCCUAACGGGA